GACGAACGCUGGCGGCGUGCUUAACACAUGCAAGUCGAGCGAUGAAGCUUUCUUCGGAAAGCGGAUUAGCGGCGGACGGGUGAGUAACACGUGGGUAACCUGCCUCAUAGAGGGGAAUAGCCUUUCGAAAGGAAGAUUAAUACCGCAUAAGAUUGUAGUAUCGCAUGGUACAGCAAUUAAAGGAGUAAUCCGCUAUAAGAUGGACCCGCGUAGAAUUAGCUAGUUGGUGAGGUAACGGCUCACCAAGGCGACGAUGCGUAGCCGACCUGAGAGGGUGAUCGGCCACAUUGGGACUGAGACACGGCCCAGACUCCUACGGGAGGCAGCAGUGGGGAAUAUUGCACAAUGGGGGAAACCCUGAUGCAGCAACGCCGCGUGAGUGAUGACGGUCUUCGGAUUGUAAAGCUCUGUCUUCAGGGACGAUAAUGACGGUACCUGAGGAGGAAGCCACGGCUAACUACGUGCCAGCAGCCGCCGUAA
rnacentral:rRNA from 1 species